rnacentral:tRNA from 1 species
GCCGAAUUGGCGGAAUGGCAGACGCGGAGCACUCAAAAUGCUUUGUCUUCGGACGUGUGGGUUCAAGUCCCACAUUCGGCACAA